GGUUCCAUAGUGUAGUGGUUAGCACAUUUGCCUUAGACACAGAAGGUCCUGGGUUCACACCCCAGUGGAGCUA
rfam:Pteropus alecto contig86132, whole genome shotgun sequence.